UUUUCUCCUGGAAACGGGUGGUAAUGCCGGAUGCUCCGACUCCUCGCAUGGGGUGUCGGGAAAGAUUUCAUCGGUAUGGGAUGGGGUCGCGUCCUAUCAGGUAGUCGGCGGGGUAACGGCCCACCGAGCCUACGACGGGUAGCCGGCCUGAGAGGGCGACCGGCCACAUUGGGACUGAGAUACGGCCCAGACUCCUACGGGAGGCAGCAGUGGGGAAUAUUGCACAAUGGGCGCAAGCCUGAUGCAGCGACGCCGCGUGCGGGAUGACGGCCUUCGGGUUGUAAACCGCUUUUGAUCGGGAGCAAGCCUUCGGGUGAGUGUACCUUUCGAAUAAGCACCGGCUAACUACGUGCCAGCAGCCGCGGUAAUACGUAGGGUGCAAGCGUUAUCCGGAAUUAUUGGGCGUAAAGGGCUCGUAGGCGGUUCGUCGCGUCCGGUGUGAAAGUCCAUCGCUUAACGGUGGAUCUGCGCCGGGUACGGGCGGGCUGGAGUGCGGUAGGGGAGACUGGAAUUCCCGGUGUAACGGUGGAAUGUGUAGAUAUCGGGAAGAACACCAAG
rnacentral:rRNA from 1 species